UUUUGGCCUUCAUGUCCCCUAGGCUCUGACCUGCUGCACCGUGGAGGUGAAGACCCUAGAUGACCGUCUACUCAACAUCCCCAUCAAUGACAUCAUCCACCCCAAGUACUUCAAGAAGGUGCCAGGGGAGGGGAUGCCACUGCCGGAAGACCCCACCAAGAAGGGGGACCUCUUCAUUUACUUCGACAUCCAGUUCCCCACCCGCCUCACACCCCAGAAGAAGCAGAUGCUGCGCCAGGCGUUGCUGAUGUAACUCGGGUGGGCUGGGGCCUGAGCAGGGGUAGGGGAAAGUGAGCGGGGCCUGACCCCACCUCUACCCAGCCCCAGGGUGUGCAGGGGAGCCCACCCACUGCACAGACAGGACAUGAGGACUGGAUGGCAUGGGAUUUUUGAACUGACACAAUAAAGUUUUUAUUUCCUAUCCUCCA